GUAACAUCUUCAAUAAGGAGCUCAGGAUGUUGCUUUGGAAAGCUUUAAGUUUGAUUACUCUGCUCAACAGUUGUUUAUCGGCAGCUUCUGUUACAACUCCUGCUAUAGAUGUAUACAUUAGAAGCGAAGGGUGCGAAGAUCCAAGAAGGACACCGAACACAUGUGGAAUUGCUUGUAUCAAGGUGAACGACAAGGAUUAAUCCCGUCGCGGCAGAGGACUUAACGUUGUUGUUUUGGACGGUGCAACAGUGUCAUUCUUGCUUCAAUAGUAUUCGACACCCAUGGGAAAAGAUAUGCCGAUGAUAACCUGAGGGAUUACCUCAACAGCAUCAAAGGAAAGUCAAGUAAUUUUAUUUCAGGUUAAUAGUGUAGUUCUAUCAUUCUAGUCUUAGAAAAUCAUACCUUUAAAAUGAUGCUUAACUCUUUGUAGCUCAGGUAUCGUAUAUAGUUCAAAAAUCAUGUUUCCUGAACAGAAGACUCACCAGUGUACAAUUUCUGGACUGAAUUAAAGCAGUUUGAAAACGUGUUUUUGCUUUAGUGUGAAUGGGACGUCUUAUUUUCAACACUGAGCAAGGUUUGUGUGAAAAGCUUUGUUCAUUAGAGAGUAUUACCUGGUUCAACAAGUUGCUUCACUUUGCGACUGAAACUCCAGGCUUUGAUAUGUUAACUUGUUACCAAAACACUUGUCACGAGCUUGGCUCGUGUUAGAAGUCGACCACCAACAACUAAUCUUCUAAUUUUGUCCCAU